CAAGGAUACCCCUAGUAACGGCGAGUGAAGCGGGUCUAGCUCAAGAUGUAAAUCUGCACUGUAACGGUGCCGAAUUGUGGUCUAAAGACUUUGGCGCUAUUCUGCCGGGGCAAGUUCCUUGGAAAAGGACACCUUAGAGGGUGACAGUCCCGUUCCCCUGGUAGAUUGAGUCAGAUGUCAACGAGUCGAGUUGUUUGGGAUUGCAGCUCUAAUUGGGUGGUAAAUUCCAUCUAAAGCUAAAUAUUGGUGGGAAACCGAUAGCGUACAAGUACCGUGAGGGAAAGAUGCAAAGAACUUUGAAAAGAGAGUUAAAGAGUACCUGAAACCGCUGAAAUGGAAGCGAAGGAAACCAGUGUAAGUCCUUUUCAUAUUUCCCUGGCCGCUUGCGGUCUGGGCGCUGUGGAGGGGCGUUGUUUGUCGUGGUUGUUUCCGGUGGAAGAGCUUGGUUGGCUUCGGCCUUCCUGUGCUAGCGCCGGUCUUGACUCCGACAGACGAAAUGGUUUUCUUUACCCCGUCUUGAAACACGGACCAAGGAGUCUAACAUAUGUGCGAGUACAGGGGUGUCAAACCCCGGUGCGUAAUGAAAGUGACAGUGGUAGGACCUUUUUGGGCACUAUCCGCCGGCCUCAAUCCCUCGGGAGAACGGUCUGAGUGUGAGCACACAUGUUGGGACCCGAAAGAUGGUGAACUAUGCCUGAAUAGGGUGAAGCCAGGGGAAACUCUGGUGGAGGCUCGUAGCGAUUCUGACGUGCAAUUCCGUUCGUAAAA
rnacentral:rRNA from 1 species